UUAAGCGACUAAGCGUACACGGUGGAUGCCCUGGCAGUCAGAGGCGAUGAAGGACGUGCUAAUCUGCGAAAAGCGUCGGUAAGGUGAUAUGAACCGUUAUAACCGGCGAUGUCCGAAUGGGGAAACCCAGUGCAAUUCGUUGCACUAUCGUUAACUGAAUACAUAGGUUAACGAGGCGAACCGGGGGAACUGAAACAUCUAAGUACCCCGAGGAAAAGAAAUCAACCGAGAUUCCCCCAGUAGCGGCGAGCGAACGGGGAGCAGCCCAGAGUCUGAAUCAGCUUGUGUGUUAGUGGAACGGUCUGGAAAGUCCGACGGUACAGGGUGAUAGUCCCGUACACCAAAAUGCACAGGUUGUGAACUCGAAGAGUAGGGCGGGACACGUGGUAUCCUGUCUGAAUAUGGGGGGACCAUCCUCCAAGGCUAAAUACUCCUGACUGACCGAUAGUGAACCAGUACCGUGAGGGAAAGGCGAAAAGAACCCCGGCGAGGGGAGUGAAAAAGAACCUGAAACCGUGUACGUACAAGCAGUGGGAGCACCUUCGGGUGUGACUGCGUACCUUUUGUAUAAUGGGUCAGCGACUUAUAUUCUGUAGCAAGGUUAACCGUAUAGGGGAGCCGCAGGGAAACCGAGUCUUAACUGGGCGUUAAGUUGCAGGGUAUAGACCCGAAACCCGGUGAUCUAGCCAUGGGCAGGUUGAAGGUUGGGUAACACUAACUGGAGGACCGAACCGACUAAUGUUGAAAAAUUAGCGGAUGACUUGUGGCUGGGGGUGAAAGGCCAAUCAAACCGGGAGAUAGCUGGUUCUCCCCGAAAGCUAUUUAGGUAGCGCCUCGUGAACUCAUCUUCGGGGGUAGAGCACUGUUUCGGCUAGGGGGUCAUCCCGACUUACCAACCCGAUGCAAACUACGAAUACCGAAGAAUGUUAUCACGGGAGACACACGGCGGGUGCUAACGUCCGUCGUGAAGAGGGAAACAACCCAGACCGCCAGCUAAGGUCCCAAAGUCAUGGUUAAGUGGGAAACGAUGUGGGAAGGCACAGACAGCCAGGAUGUUGGCUUAGAAGCAGCCAUCAUUUAAAGAAAGCGUAAUAGCUCACUGGUCGAGUCGGCCUGCGCGGAAGAUGUAACGGGGCUAAACCAUGCACCGAAGCUGCGGCAGCGACACUAUGUGUUGUUGGGUAGGGGAGCGUUCUGUAAGCCUGCGAAGGUGUGCUGUGAGGCAUGCUGGAGGUAUCAGAAGUGCGAAUGCUGACAUAAGUAACGAUAAAGCGGGUGAAAAGCCCGCUCGCCGGAAGACCAAGGGUUCCUGUCCAACGUUAAUCGGGGCAGGGUGAGUCGACCCCUAAGGCGAGGCCGAAAGGCGUAGUCGAUGGGAAACAGGUUAAUAUUCCUGUACUUGGUGUUACUGCGAAGGGGGGACGGAGAAGGCUAUGUUAGCCGGGCGACGGUUGUCCCGGUUUAAGCAUGUAGGCUGGUUAUCCAGGCAAAUCCGGAUAAUCAAGGCUGAGGUGUGAUGACGAGGCACUACGGUGCUGAAGUAAACAAAUGCCCUGCUUCCAGGAAAAGCCUCUAAGCAUCAGGUAACAUUAAAUCGUACCCCAAACCGACACAGGUGGUCAGGUAGAGAAUACCAAGGCGCUUGAGAGAACUCGGGUGAAGGAACUAGGCAAAAUGGUGCCGUAACUUCGGGAGAAGGCACGCUGGUGUGUAGGUGAAGUCCCUGCGGAUGGAGCUGAGACCAGUCGAAGAUACCAGCUGGCUGCAACUGUUUAUUAAAAACACAGCACUGUGCAAACACGAAAGUGGACGUAUACGGUGUGACGCCUGCCCGGUGCCGGAAGGUUAAUUGAUGGGGUUAUCCGUAAGGAGAAGCUCUUGAUCGAAGCCCCGGUAAACGGCGGCCGUAACUAUAACGGUCCUAAGGUAGCGAAAUUCCUUGUCGGGUAAGUUCCGACCUGCACGAAUGGCGUAAUGAUGGCCAGGCUGUCUCCACCCGAGACUCAGUGAAAUUGAACUCGCUGUGAAGAUGCAGUGUACCCGCGGCAAGACGGAAAGACCCCGUGAACCUUUACUAUAGCUUGACACUGAACAUUGAGCCUUGAUGUGUAGGAUAGGUGGGAGGCUUUGAAGCGUGGACGCCAGUCUGCGUGGAGCCAACCUUGAAAUACCACCCUUUAAUGUUUGAUGUUCUAACGUUGGCCCCUGACCGGGGUUGCGGACAGUGUCUGGUGGGUAGUUUGACUGGGGCGGUCUCCUCCCAAAGCGUAACGGAGGAGCACGAAGGUUAGCUAAUCCUGGUCGGACAUCAGGAGGUUAGUGCAAUGGCAUAAGCUAGCUUGACUGCGAGCGUGACGGCGCGAGCAGGUGCGAAAGCAGGUCAUAGUGAUCCGGUGGUUCUGAAUGGAAGGGCCAUCGCUCAACGGAUAAAAGGUACUCCGGGGAUAACAGGCUGAUACCGCCCAAGAGUUCAUAUCGACGGCGGUGUUUGGCACCUCGAUGUCGGCUCAUCACAUCCUGGGGCUGAAGUAGGUCCCAAGGGUAUGGCUGUUCGCCAUUUAAAGUGGUACGCGAGCUGGGUUUAGAACGUCGUGAGACAGUUCGGUCCCUAUCUGCCGUGGGCGCUGGAGAAUUGAGGGGGGCUGCUCCUAGUACGAGAGGACCGGAGUGGACGCAUCACUGGUGUUCGGGUUGUCAUGCCAAUGGCACUGCCCGGUAGCUAAAUGCGGAAAAGAUAAGUGCUGAAAGCAUCUAAGCACGAAACUUGCCCCGAGAUGAGUUCUCCCUGAGACUUUAAGUCUCCUGAAGGAACGUUGAAGACGACGACGUUGAUAGGCCGGGUGUGUAAGCGCAGCGAUGCGUUGAGCUAACCGGUACUAAUGAACCGUGAGGCUUAACCUU
rnacentral:rRNA from 1 species